UAAUAAAAACGAAAAGAGAGAUAUGCGUCAACAUACCUCUCUGAUGUAGAGCCGUUUAAGACGGUGACCAUGUUAAUUAUUUAAA
rnacentral:sRNA from 1 species